rnacentral:rRNA from 1 species
GAUGAACGCUGGCGGCGUGCCUAAUACAUGCAAGUCGAGCGAACGGACGAGAAGCUUGCUUCUCUGAUGUUAGCGGCGGACGGGUGAGUAACACGUGGAUAACCUACCUAUAAGACUGGGAUAACUUCGGGAAACCGGAGCUAAUACCGGAUAAUAUUUUGAACCGCAUGGUUCAAAAGUGAAAGACGGUCUUGCUGUCACUUAUAGCUGGAUCCGCGCUGCAUUAGCUAGUUGGUAAGGUAACGGCUUACCAAGGCGACGAUGCAUAGCCGACCUGAGAGGGUGAUCGGCCACACUGGAACUGAGACACGGUCCAGACUCCUACGGGAGGCAGCAGUAGGGAAUCUUCCGCAAUGGGCGAAAGCCUGACGGAGCAACGCCGCGUGAGUGAUGAAGGUCUUCGGAUCGUAAAACUCUGUUAUUAGGGAAGAACAUAUGUGUAAGUAACUGUGCACAUCUUGACGGUACCUAAUCAGAAAGCCACGGCUAACUACGUG